GACGAACGCUGGCGGCGUGCUUAACACAUGCAAGUCGAACGGAAAGGCCCCCACUUUUUUGGUGGGGGUGCUCGAGUGGCGAACGGGUGAGUAACACGUGGGGGAUCUGCCCUGUACUUCGGGAUAAGCUUGGGAAACUGGGUCUAAUACCGGAUAGGACCAUGGUUUAGUGGCUCAUGGUGGAAAAAUUAUUGUUUUGGUGCAGGAUGAGCUCGCGGCCUAUCAGCUUGUUGGUGGGGUAAUGGCCUACCAAGGCGUCGACGGGUAGCCGGCCUGAGAGGGUGGACGGACACAGUGGGAGGGGGAUCCGGCCCAGACGGCUACGGGAGGCAGCGGUGGGGAAUAUUGCAAAAUGGGCGCAAGCCUGAUGCAGCGACGCCGCGUGGGGGAUGACGGCCGUCGGGUUGUAAACUCCUUUCGUUAGGGACGAAGCCGCACCUUUUUUGGGUGUGGUGACGGUACCUUUGUGAAGAAGCACCGGCUAACUACGUG
rnacentral:rRNA from 1 species